rnacentral:rRNA from 1 species
CCUACGGGUGGCAGCAGUAGGGAAUCUUCCACAAUGGGCGAAAGCCGGAGGGAGCAACGCCGCGUGGGUGAAGAAGGUCUUCGGAUGGUAAAACCCGGUUGUUAGAGAAGAAAGUGCGUGAGAGUAACUGUUCACGUUUCGACGGUAUCUAACCAGAAAGCCACGGCUAACUACGUGCCAGCAGCCGCGGUAAUACGUAGGUGGCAAGCGUUAUCCGGAUUUAUUGGGGGUAAAGGGAACGCAGGCGGUCUUUUAAGUCUGAUGUGAAAGGCUUCGGCUUAACCGGAGUAGUGCAUGUGAAACUGGGAGACUUGAGGGCAGGAGAGGGGAGUGGAACUCCAUGUGUAGCGGUGAAAGGCGUAGAUAUAUGGAAGAACACCAGUGGCGAAAGCGGCUCUCUGGUCUGUAACUGACGCUGAGGUUCGAAAGCGUGGGUAGCAAACAGGAUUAGAUACCCCUGUAGUC